rnacentral:rRNA from 1 species
CAGUCGCCACGGUAAUACGAAGGGGGCUAGCGUUGUUCGGAUUAACUGGGCGUAAAGGGCGCGUAGGCGGGUUUUUAAGUCAGAGGUGAAAUCCCAAGGCUCAACCUUGGAACUGCCUUUGAUACUGGAAGUCUUGAGUCCGGGAGAGGUGAGUGGAACUGCGAGUGUAGAGGUGAAAUUCGUAGAUAUUCGCAAGAACACCAGUGGCGAAGGCGGCUCACUGGCCCGGUACUGACGCUGAGGCGCGAAAGCGUGGGGAGCAAACAGGAUUAGAUACCCCUGUAGUCCCUGUCUCUUAUAC